UACAGAGGGGGCAAGCGUUAUUCGGAAUCACUGGGCGUAAAGGGUGCGUAGGCGGAUCUUUAAGUCAGGGGUGAAAUCCCGAGGCUCAACCUCGGAACUGCCUUUGAUACUGGGGAUCUCGAGUCCGGGAGAGGUGAGUGGAACUGCGAGUGUAGAGGUGAAAUUCGUAGAUAUUCGCAAGAACACCAGUGGCGAAGGCGGCUCACUGGCCCGGAACUGACGCUGAGGUGCGAAAGCGUGGGGAGCAAACAGG
rnacentral:rRNA from 1 species